UACGUAGGGUGCAGGCGUUAAUCGGAAUUACUGGGCGUAAAGCGUGCGCAGGCGGUUUGCUAAGACAGGUGUGAAAUCCCCGGGCUUAACCUGGGAACUGCGCUUGUAACUAGCAGGCUAGAGUGUGGCAGAGGGGGGUGGAAUUCCCGGUGUAGUGGUGAAAUGCGUAGAUAUCGGGAGGAACACCAGUGGCGAAGGCGACUACCUGGCCUGUUCUUGACGCUGAGGCGCGAAAGCUAGGGGAGCAAACGGG
rnacentral:rRNA from 1 species